UAUAUUAAAUUUCGAUCGAAUCGCGCUUCCAAGAUUUGCUAUAUACAAGAUCUGUGCCGUUUGUUUGGGGAGGGAGUUUCGUUCGAUAUCUCGUUAUUAUUGUCUUGGGUGUAAUCUUCUGUGCUCUUCUUGUUUCUACGUGCUUCGUGUUUAACGCCAUGUUUUUUCCAACCUUCCAACGUUCUAUAAUCGUGCGUUGCAUGGUCGUUCGUUUCUUUCUUUUUUUUUUUUUUUUUUUUUUUGGUUAUUUCGUGGAAAGUUCGAAACUUUGAAACUUUUACUUAGUUAUUACUUGUUUUUUUUUUUGGUUGGAAGGAGGGGAUACUUGUGCAUGCUGAUAUUUUUGAAAACGUAAACGGAGGGUUUAGAAAUCGAUCGAGUGUAUAAGUCUCCGAGAAUGUGACUUAUGUAGGUCACGAAUCUUUUUCAUUGUUUAAAUUUUCAGUCGGACGAAUCGAUAAGUCGACGUUAAAUUGUUGUUCGAUCGAUUCGUUUCUUAAUUGAAAAUUUGAAACAAUACAUACAUAUUCAGGAGUAUUUAAACGAGUCUUACAACAUUUCAUUUUAUUUUUAUUCCUCUCCUUAAGCAUUUCUUCACGUAUAUCUUUAUAAAUUUUAUCAUAAACGAACAAGCAUCCGUCCAAUCGUUAUGAUUGAACGUGUAUUAACUUUUUAUUACUUAUCUAUAAUAUUACUCCAUGUUGGAAAAAUGAAAUAAAUUGUGAAAUAAAUACAGCGAUCUCUCAUCAAUGGAUAUACAUAUAUGGAUAUACGCAACACGAGUUUAACGGAGUGAAAACAAAUAUUUCGAAUAGCUCGUCGAUUUCGUCGAAAACGCAACGUAAUUCAAAAGAUUCUUUGUUAUUGCUCAAUAUUCUGGCUCGUACCAGCAUUUUCGCAGUAGGUUGUCUCGUUAACGUCGAACAGAACAGAAACCACGUCCACACGAUAUUACUGUUGGACGGAUUAACGUCUUCCGACGGGCUGCUGACUUUGUGCAAGGAAUUAUUAGUCCUCGAAGAUAAUCCGUUUACUUUGCAUAUCGAUGGACAGUGAUAGAUUAGAACGUGUUUUCAGCGUGUGCGCAAUGUGAUCCAAAAUUAGAUCUAAUCGGGAAAUCUCGGUGCUUUUAACGCGCAUUAAAAUUUUCGCGAAAAUAUUCGAACGCGUCGAAUAUAAACACACGUUUUAUGACUGCCGAGUUGUAUACACAACAAAUUUUUACUUUACCAAAAGAUCCUCUCCUUCUUUCUUCCAUACAUUUAUUUUUCGUUCGUUAUUAAUGCAACUUUACAAUGAAACAGAGAUGGGGAAAAAUGUUGAAUUGCAAAAUUCUCAGAAUUUUAUCACCUUAUGUCGCUGCAAAAUAUAUAUCGAAAAAUGUAUUGACCUCGAAACGCACGUAUUAUAAUCCAAAACAUUGGUCGAGAAUUAUUCUUUCGAGAAGGCUUCAAUUGGGUUAAAGUUAGCAAAAAUAUACGAUCGUUGGAAAUAAAGACGCGGAUGAGCUCGGCGGGUUACAAAUUUAACUGCACAAAUCUAUAAACGCCGCCUCGGCGAGCUUACUUUUAUCAUCGAAUCAGGAGCCACGGGGUCAGUAUUUUCUCAAGUGUUCCACGAGUGGCCUGCGCAACGAUCUUUCUCCCUCGGAGGAUAACAAGCCCGGUUCGAUUAGCGGCAAAUUUCUCCCCGUCCAUCCAUUCGCGAAAUUUCAAUCGAUCGAUGUAUUUCCCUGCGAGAAUCCUUUCGAAAUGAGAGUAUGCAAAAUUUUUCGAUCAAGGAGGAGGGGACCGUAUAUAUAAUUCCGAAAACUCGUGGAAAUACCGAUAAAGCCGAUAUACUCUCGCCAGCCAAUAAAAAGAUUAUCUCGAGGAAUUUUCCGUUCAACCGUCAAUGAGAUUCGACGGGGAAGAUUCAUCUCCUCGCAUGGAUCAUCCGUUUCCUAACGAACGUUCAAUUACUCGUCUCGUGGAAUUUUAUUUCCGAUUAAAUAGAUCUGGUUUCGAAAGAGUUUCGUAGAGUUUGAGAAGAAAUAAUGUGACGCGGAAGAUUGCGUGGAAUCCUUCUUUUAGAUUAGACGUCUAAUUUCCUUUUUUUUUUUUUUCGUUGUGUUAAAUAAUAGAUGGAUACAAAACGUUUCAAGGGGAAGAAUUUGAAAUUAAUAACUCAAGUUUUUUUCAGGCUAUUCGUCAUCGGAUAGCAGGCCUUGAUUGAAACCUGUUUCGAAUCAAUGUUGAGGAGAAGUUGAGAGAGAAUUUGACAGGUGUCAAGAGUCAAACGUUUCAAAAUAAACAUUGCGAAUCGAAAUUUAAAACGCGUGGAGAAACACGUUCGCGUUCAAUUUAUUUCUACGCGAUUUAUACGCGUAACGUAAAUAAAUGACAACGCGCGGAUAAUUAAUAUUGGAAUAUUGCGGAUGUUUGUGCUGCAUUUAUGUGAAAUUUCAUCAGAUCGUUGUGAACUUCUUGAGAAACAUCAGGUGAAUGAAUUUUUUCUCAUUAAGUUGGUUUUCUAUUUAUACAAUUCGUGUUCACCGUUUCUUCGUGAACAAAGAUUCUUAAAGAUUCAGAAUAAAAUUCAAACGAAAACACAAACGUAAAACCUAAAAUACCCAAAGUGAAACAUUUAGAAGGUGAACUUCUAUUUCGAUCCACGCGCGUGAAAACACGAAUUUGCAUAAACGCUACACUUUCCUUCCUUCCUUAUUUUAUUCCCAAUCUUUAUCCCAUUUCCCCCGAAAUCUUCGUUUUCUUUCAAAUUGAACGUGCAGCAUUCAAACACCAUUGCAGGAGCCUUAAACCACCGAACUUGUGAUCUAUCGAUCGUAUAGAAUUUUAUAUAUACACAUAUAUAUAUAUCAUCGCGACAAAAUGCACGAGAGGAUUUCUCAUUUUUCUAAAAAUAGGGGAAAGGGAAAAAAAGAAAGAAAAAGGUAAAUAACCAACAGGCGGAUCGAUAACGCUGCAAUUCGUGCAGGAGGAAUCGUCGCCCCAAAUCCAAGGGCCCCGGAUGUCCUCGGUAAUCCUUGAUCUCUUUAUGUGACGUGAAAGUAUAGCAGCUCUGGACACACACAGCGGAAUUAAAGUAAGCUCGUAUCAAAAAUAGAUUCGA
rnacentral:lncRNA from 1 species